rnacentral:lncRNA from 1 species
UUUUUUCAUGUCUAGCUUUUUGAGUUCUUUAUAAACCCUAGAGAUUAGUGUUUAUCUGAUGUGCUUGUGGUAAAAAUUUGCUUCCAAGACGUAGGUUCUCUACAAACCUCACUGAUUGUUUCUUUUGCUGAGAAGAAGUUUUUUAGUUCGAAUCCAUCUCAUUUAUUAAUGCUUGAUUUUAAUUCUUGCGCUAUAGAGUAUUAUUAAGGAAGUAGGGCCUAAUCCAAUAUGAUGGAGAUUAGGGCCUACUUUUUCUUUUAUUAGAUGCAGCAUCUCUGGUUUUAUUUCUAGGUCCUUGAUCCACUUUGAGUUGAGUUUUGUGCAUGGUGAGAGAUGGGGGUUUAAUUUCACUUUGUUGCAUAUGGAUUUCCAGUUUCCCCAGUACCAUUUGUUGAAGAGGUUAUCUUUUCUCCAAUGUAUGUUUUUGGUGCCUUUGUCUAAUAUAAGAUCACUGUAAUUAUAUGGGUUAGUCUCUCAUCCUCUAUUCUGUACCAUUGGUCUACCAGUCUAUUUUAGUGUGAAUAACAUGCUGUUUUUGUUACAAUUGCUCUGUAGUAUAGUUUAAGGUCUGGUAUAGCGAUGCCACCUGCUUUACUCUUCUUCUUAUGGAUUGCUUUAGGUAUUCUGGGUCUUUCAUUUUUUCCAGAUGAAUUUCAUGAUUGCUUUUUCUAUUUAUAUGAGGAAUGUCAUUGGGAUUUUGAUUGGAAUUGCAUUAAAUCUGUGUAGUGCUUUUGGUAGUAUGGUCAUUUUGACAUUAUUAAUUGUGCCUAUCCAAG